CAAGUACUCCCUUCGUCCGGAAUUACUUGUCAUCAAAAUGGAUGUGUUUAGAACUAAAAUACAUCUAGAUACAUCCAUUUCAAUGACAAGUAUUUUUGGACGGAGGAAGUACAAG
rfam:Triticum aestivum genome assembly, contig: Triticum_aestivum_CS42_TGACv1_scaffold_049389_1BS